rfam:Triticum aestivum genome assembly, contig: Triticum_aestivum_CS42_TGACv1_scaffold_406855_5BL
AAGGUUGAUGAUGACGAUCUGAUUUCUUACCUUUUGGCGGGGCUGGACAUUGAAUACAAUCCAUUGGUGGCUUCCGUUCUUGGGAGACCAACAGCUGAUCCAAUUACCCUCAAUGAAUUGUAUGCACAACUCCUCAGCUAUGACA